CUUCUGCCAUGAUUGUGAGGCCUCCCCAGUCAUGUGGACUAUAAGGGUUCAGAGCCUGUGCUUCCAAGAUGACUUUGGGACCAGGGUGUAUGAGGAGGUAGGAAGGCGUGGCCCCUGCACGAGGCCUGGCUGGGAAACGCCGCUGUGAUCACAUCGUUCAUCACUCACUGCUGACCACCUGACAGUUUUCCAGGACCAAGCCUCCUGCACUGUGUGAUUCUGGGAACAUCUCCUCUGGCUCACAAGGUCUGAAAAGCAAACCAGUCAGCUAUGGAAGUCAGAGACUCCAAAUGGAGGGGCCGGCUGAAGCCAUGGCAGAAGAACGUGGAUUGUGAAGAUUUCUUGGACAUUUAUUAGUUCC